rnacentral:miRNA from 1 species
GAAGCUCGACUCUACAGGUC